UACACGACCGUACCGCAAACCGACACUGGUGCGCGAGAUGAGUAUUCUAAGGCGCUUGAGAGAACUCAGGAGAAGGAACUCGGCAAAUUGACACCGUAACUUCGGAAGAAGGUGUGCCUUUAGUAGGUGAAGUCCCUCGCGGAUGGAGCCCAAUGAGGUUGCAAAAAAUCGGUGGCUGCGACUGUUUAUUAAAAACACAGCACUCUGCAAACACGAAAGUGGACGUAUAGGGUGUGACGCCUGCCCGGUGCUGGAAGAUUAAAUGAUGGGGUGCAAGCUCUUGAUUGAAGUCCCAGUAAACGGCGGCCGUAACUAUAACGGUCCUAAGGUAGCGAAAUUCCUUGUCGGGUAAGUUCCGACCUGCACGAAUGGCGUAACGAUGGCCACACUGUCUCCUCCUGAGACUCAGCGAAGUUGAAAUGUUUGUGAUGAUGCAAUCUCCCCGCGGAAAGACGGAAAGACCCCAUGAACCUUUACUGUAGCUUUGUAUUGGACUUUGAACAGAUCUGUGUAGGAUAGGUGGGAGGCUUUGAAGCAGGGUCGCUAGAUCUUGUGGAGCCAACGUUGAAAUACCACCCUGGUGUGUUUGAGGUUCUAACCUAGGCCCGUAAUCCGGGUUGGGGACAGUGCAUGGUAGGCAGUUUGACUGGGGCGGUCUCCUCCCAAAGUGUAACGGAGGAGUUCGAAGGUACGCUAGUUACGGUCGGACAUCGUGACGAUAGUGCAAUGGCAUAAGCGUGCUUAACUGCGAGACUGACAAGUCGAGCAGAUGCGAAAGCAGGACAUAGUGAUCCGGUGGUUCUGUAUGGAAGGGCCAUCGCUCAACGGAUAAAAGGUACUCUGGGGAUAACAGGCUGAUACCGCCCAAGAGUUCAUAUCGACGGCGGUGUUUGGCACCUCGAUGUCGGCUCAUCUCAUCCUGGGGCUGUAGCCGGUCCCAAGGGUAUGGCUGUUCGCCAUUUAAAGAGGUACGUGAGCUGGGUUUAAAACGUCGUGAGACAGUUUGGUCCCUAUCUUCCGUGGGCGCUGCAGAUUUGAGGAAGCCUGCUCCUAGUACGAGAGGACCGGAGUGGACGCACCUCUGGUGUAUCGGUUGUCACGCCAGUGGCAUUGCCGAGUAGCUAUGUGCGGAAGAGAUAACCGCUGAAAGCAUCUAAGCGGGAAACUCGUUUCAAGAUGAGAUCUGCCGGGGCCUUGAGCCCCCUGAAGAGUCGUUCAAGACCAGGACGUUGAUAGGUCGGGUGUGGAAGCGCAGUAAUGCGUUAAGCUAACCGAUACUAAUUGCUCGUGCGGCUUGACCA
rnacentral:rRNA from 1 species